GCAUCUUGGAGGAGCAGCAGUGUCCUGGCUUAUAGGACCUGUAUGUAAGUACGAUUUUGACUCAGUCAAAGAAAACUAGGUGCCGCUACAAGUUACUGGUUCUUCAAAGCACCCGCAGUUGGUACAUCAGAUGCAAUAAUUGGAUGAGUAAGUCAUCUCAAACUUAUUUGCAAAAUAAGAUUAAUGUUCAUAAGAACCUGUUCCAACUAAUGAUUCUCUGCCUAGAAAAUUUAGGACUUUGGUGAGGAAUAGCUUGCUCUGAGACAUACAAUAAAACCGGUCAACAGUAAGAGUUCAUAAUUAAAAUCGACAUUGACAACUCAAUUUCAAUGCUUAAUUAUGGAAUUAAUUUUCCCGUAUUUUGGAGAACGAUUUACAGUAUGAAUUCAUUUUUCACCAAACAUUGAAAAACAAUGAAAAUAUUUUCCGUAAAACUUUUUAUAAGUAAACAAACAUACCCUUAAUUUCUAUUUAAAUUGUCUAUUUAUUGUCUAUUAUGACCGAAAGGGAUCAUUACUUCCUUUUCGGGUUUUGAUUUAUUUAGUGCGAAAGCUCUUAUAACAACUCUUUGUUGGUUUAUUUGGAAAGCUAGAAAUUAAUGUAUGGCAAAGAACCUUUAUCUAUAUUUAAUACUAUCGAUUACUCUAACUUGUUACUAGAUGCCUAAGUAGUUCCAUAAAAUAAAUAAUAAAAAAAGAACGCUUCCAACAAAAAACGAAACUUAUUGUGCAACUAUGAAAAAAGUCAAUUUUUAGAUAGAAACAAUGGUAUAAUUACCACUUUAGUCCCUUUAAUUAAUUUUAAUCUAUAAUUCAACUUUUAACACUUACGCAAUUUAGUUAUUGUACCUUAAUAACUUCUAAUUUCACAAAAAUUACCUAUCCAAAAUUUAAUUUGCCUCUAAUACAACUCCGUAAAUAUUUAAUAAAAAUAUUUGCAAGUUCAGUUUAUGGAAACGGAGUCCCAAUAAUACACUUUCUAACACCACUGACUUUUGGGUCGUUACAAUUCUCCCCAAAAUUCACCUGAAAAGAGAUGGGGAUAUUGGGAUCUUAUCAUCUCUUCUGACUCCCAAGUCACUUCCUCGACACUAUGGCUACACCAUAGAAAUUUCACUAACGAAACAUGUUUAUUACGUAACUCCUUCACCAUGUAGGCUAAAAUUUUGAUCGGUUCUUCCUGAAAGGACAAAUCAGGUUGAAUUUCUAUAUCUUCUGUCGUAAUAAUAUGAGACGGAUCCGAUCAAUACCUCCUAAGCAUUGACACAUGAAAGACAUCAUGCAUUUUCUGUAAUUCUACAAGUAAUGCCAACUGAUAUCCUACUGGUCUCACUCUUUCAGUGAUCUCAUACAAUCCGAUAAAACGAGGACUUAGUUUCCUUUUUUCGACAGACCCUCAAGACUUUCUUCCAUGGCGAAACCUUUAGUAAUAAUUUGUUGCUAAUAGAAAACACAAUAUCUCGAUGUUUCAAGUCUACGUGCGAUUCUUUCUAUCAAAGGUUGUUUUCAAUCUAUUUCAGAUUAUCUUAACGGUAUUUUUUGUUUCUUGAAUCAAUUCUGACCCAACAACUUUUCUGUUACACAAUUCCAUCCAACAAACAGGUGUUCGACACCUACGACCAUAUAAAGCUUCGUAUGAAGCCAUUUGAAUGCUCGAUUUGAAAAUAUUAUUGUAUACGAAUUUAGCCAAAGGUAAAUAACGUUCUCAACCUGAUUCAAAAUCGGUUACAUAGGCUCGAAGCAUAUCUUCUAAAAUCUAAACAACACGCUUAGAUUAACCGUCAGACUACAAGUGAAAAGUUAUGCUGAAAUUGAGCCUCAUACUAAGAGAUUUAUAUAAUUGUUUCUAGAAUCUUAAAGUAAAUCGAAGAUCCUAAUCAGAGAUAAUUGACAUAGGGACAUUAUGUAAUCUAACAAUUUCUUGAAUGUAAACUUCAGUAAGUUUUUGAAGUGACCAAUCAGUUCUGACAGUAAUAAAAUGAGACAAUUUUGUAAACCGAUCAAUUAUCACCUAAACAAUAUUUUUUACUUGGAGAUAUGGUAACCCUGCUACAAAAUCCAUCGUUAUGCGUCCCAUUUCCACUCAGGAAUAGAAAUAGGUUGAAGUAAUCCUGUGGGAACUUGAUGUUCUGCCUUAACUCGCUGACAUGUUAAACAUUUAGCUACGAACUCAACUAUUUCUCUUUUCAUUCUGAGCCACCAAUACAAUUCUUGCAGAUCGCGAUACAUUUUCAUUCCCUCAGGAUCUAAGGCAAAAGGGCUAUUGUGAGCUUUGCAAAGUAUCAACACUUUUAAUUUUACAACAUCAGGAACACAGAUUCGAUUUCGGAACCUCAGACAAUCACAAUCAUCAAUGCUGAAAUUUUCUAUUAAGCCAUCUUUAACCAUUUAUCUUUUCUUCACUAAUUUGGCAUUAUCUAAUUGUGCUUCUUUAAUCAGAUUAAACAACAUCGGCUUGACCUUCAACAUCCAACAAGCUUCAAUCAUUAUUGAUACUAAGUUAAGCAAACAUCAUUCACAGCUCAAUUGUUUCCUUCCUACUUAACGCAUCAGCUACAAUGUUAGCUUUACCAGGAUGGUAAUCAAUAAUACAAUCAUAACCUUUUAGAAGCUCAACCCAGUGACACUAUCUUAAAUUCAACUCUUUUUGAGUUAGGAGGUAUUUAAGAUUUUUUUGAUCAGUAUAAAUAUGACAUUUUCCACCGUACAAACAGUGCCUCCAGAUCUUUAGAGCACAAACCACAGCAGUUAGCUCAAAAUCAUGCAUCGAAUAAUUACGUUCAUGCAUUUUUAGUCGACAAGGUAUAUACGUGAUUACUUUCUCAUCUUGCAUCAAAACACAACUGAGACCACUCAAUGAAGCAUCACUAUAGACCAUGAAUUAUUUUAUCGAUUCCAGUAAAGUUAGAACCGACGCUUUAGUCAACAUCUGUUUCAAUUUCUCGAAACUUUCUUGGCACUGUUUGCUCCAAAUGAACUGAACGUUCUUUUGUAACAGCUUUGUCAUCAGCAAUGCAUCUUUGAAAAUCCAUUAAUGAAUCUUCAGUAAUAACCAGCUAAACUAAGAAAACUACGGACUUCCAACACAUUUGUCGGUACUUUCCUCUAAAUAAUGGCCUCAAUCUUUUUCGAAUUAACUUUAACUCUACCCGUCGAGAUAACAUGCCCCAGAAACACAAAUUUCGAUAACAAAAUGAUUCUAAGGUGUUGUUCAUGCUCGAAUUCAAAUUUCAAGUAGAUCAAGAUGUCGUCAAUGAAAACUACCACAAAUUGAUCCAAAUAAGGUUGGAAGAUACGGUUCAUGAGAUCUAUGAAUGUCAUUAGGGCGUUAGUUAACCCAAAAGGCAUAACCAAAAAUUCAUAAUGGCCAUAACGCUUAUGAAACGUCGUAUUAGAUACGUCUCUAUCUUUUACUUUCAGUUGAUAAUAACCAGAUCUCAUAUUGAUUUUAAAAAAGACAAAAGCUCCUUUUAGUUGAUCAAACAAGUUAAUAAUACGAGGUAGGGGGUAACGAUUAUUAAUUGUCAACUUUUUUAAUUACCGAUAGUCUAUACAAAGUUGCAUCGAGCCAUCUUUCUUUUUAAAAAAUAAUAUUAGAGCUUUCCAAGGUGAUAUACUAGGGCGUAUAAAGUCUCAAUCCGGUAAAUAUUGCAAUUGGACCUUAAAUUCUUUCAACUCUAUGGGUGCCAUAAGAUAAGGAGACAUUGACACUAGAGCUGUACCAGAAAACACUUUAAUUUUGAAUUCAACCUCCCAAUCUGGUGGUAAUCCCAAUAAUUAUUUGGGAAAUACAUCAAGGAAUUCACAAACAGUAUAAAUCUUACUGCUCUGAUCACCACAAGAAUUCGAGUUAAUGACAUAGGCCAGAAAAUCUUUACAACCUCAAUUGAGAAGUUUAUUAACUCAAACUACUAAAACGAUAUGAUUAAACCACUUGUUCGAACACCAUUCACCUCAAUCAUGCUACCGUCUGCACUCUGAACCACAAAAUUCUUUUUACGGUAGUUAAGAAUCACUUCGUGUUCUGUAAGCCAACCCAUACCCAAAAUCAGAUCAAAAUCACCAAAUGGCAUUAUCAACAAAUCAACAAGGAAAGAUACGUUCUAAAUUUCUAGUGAACAUCGCCUACAUACUUGGUCAACUAAUACGGAUUGCCCCAAAAGACUUGACACAACCAUAGAUACUCUAGACGUCUCAGAUUUUAAAGUUCCUGAUUUGACUAACUCAGCAUUAAUAUAAAAGUGUGAAGAUCUUGGAUCUAUCAAAUGGUAAAGAGACUCUGAAUGUAAUGACAAGACACUUGCAAUAUCGGUAGCGUCACCUUCCUUACGUGUCCAUACAACAUAUGCUUGAGCUGGCACUCUGGCCUCUAACUAAUGAGUACUAGCAUCGCUCACCUUUCUAACACCACCUUUGGCAAUAAAACCACCACGACCCUUAGAUGCUGGUACAGACCUCUGAGAAGAAACAGGGGUAUCAUUAUCAUUUUUUGGACACUCUCAAGUGAAAUGCACCAUCAAUCCACAGCAAAAAUAAGCUCGUGUUAGUUUUCAGCAUUCACCUCGAUGUUUUUUCCCACAGUGAUCACAAUUCGAAAUUUCAAUAUCUUGGGACAGGCCUCGUACACUACUCAUGGACAUAGUCGGUUGUUGAUCUUGAUUUCUAUCAGAUCUGUCAGACUUAAAGGUCAAUUUCUAACUACCACGAAAAUCUUUAGUUUGCUUAGAUUGUGGAUGUAAACUAACAGCUCCUAACCACUUCCCAACAGCGCGAGUAAUCUCAGCCUUUUUAUCAAGACCCAAAGCUUGUUCUACCAUUUUUGCUCGUUCAACUAAAUUAGCAAACUCUGAGAUUCGAUGUGAUACCAGUUGUACUUGGAGCUUAUCACGUAACCCACGCUGAAAUUAUUUGCAAAUUUCAGCUUCAGAUGACACAAAUUCAACAGUAUAUUUACUGAGUCGUAAAAACUUUAAUCAGCUAUAGUCAUCUCAUUCUGCUUUAACAGUAAAAACUCUUGUUUUCUAUCUUCGAGAUGCAAUUCUCGAACGUAUUUCUUUUGGAAUUCCUUUUGGAAGAACUCUCAAUCAGCCCGUUCUGUAGAUACGUGCUGCGUUACUGUCUACCACCAAGUAUACGUUUCUCCUUGUAGUAGAGAAACAUCACAAAUUACACUCCCAAGAUGGUCGCAUUCAAGAAGUUUUAAAACACAUUUAGUAAAUUCAAUCCAAACUUCAGCUGCUGAAGGGUUAACUUCUUUCAACCUCAAAAACUCUAUCGCACCAUAUCCCUGCAAUUCUUUUGUCGGAGCCCGUCGAAUGGUAGAUGUGGAUAUUGCAGAAAAAGUAGUUCACGCAACACGUUGAAGAGCAUCAACGAUAGCUCGAAGUAAAUUUGAAUACCUAAUCCAUCAUUAUUAUCCCUCUCAGUAUUAGGUUGUUAAACACCAACUAGGUUAGCACUCGGUGUCACUGAUUUAGUUCUAUCUAACUCAUUAGAACCAUCAUCACCAGUAUACAUCUCUUAGUCAACUUUAUUAUUAUAUUCAUCAGACAUCGUUCAACUUUAAAACAAAAACAAUUAUAAUCAGCAUCCAAAUCCCGACUCAAACUCGACUCAACUUUAUGUACCUUUAAACUUAAAUUAGAGCUUGAUUUAGUUCGAGAAUCGACGUAAUGUCCUGAAUAAUUUAAGUCUAUUUUAGUGGAAUCUAACAAUAAAUGUGUAUAUGAUUCAGUGGUUAAGUGUUCUGGGUGUGUGUGUGAGGUCUUGGGUUCAAGUCCCACUUUUGGCAAAUUUUAUUAUUUUAUACCCUAGCCCUAUCAUUGGUGGGUUGGGUUAUAUUUUCUUGUUAGUAAACUUAUAUUAGAAUGAGCCUGUUGGUUCUAGUGGUAAGGAGUUAGCUUGCUGGAGGUCCUGUGUUCGAAUUCUCGUAUGAGCGUGGGUGUUAAAUUUUGUCGAUGGUGGUUGAUAGUGGUUCAGUGGUAGUGGGAUUUUGAGUUAGUGGGUGGUUAUGCAUGUAGAUGUAAUGGGAUUUGGUUUAACCAUUUUAUGUUUGGUUUAACCAUUUUAUGUUUUCUUCCCAACAAAAUUUCUUUUUUUUCCUUGAUCUGUCAAAAUUGUUCUUCUAAAAUUGCAGUGAUACAAUUUUUGAAUUCUUCGUGUGUCUGGUAAGUGAGGGUAGUAAGUUUUGUUCGAAUUAGGGGUAGUUGUUUUAACUAUUCUAUACCAAUUCUGGUCCUUUUGGUGAUGUGAUUAUGGGUUGUUUGGCAGCGAAUCGUGAGGAACGAAAUUCUUCUCCUGCAAAAUCAUAGUCGGGUUUGUUCAUGAAGUUGGGUAAGUAAUUAGUGUUUGAAUUUCACUGUUGAAGGUUUCGUUGGUUUGGUUUAAUUGUGGAUUAAAAAUUGAUUUUGGGAACGUGUAAUAUCGUUUGCUGGUUCCGGUAGGUUCGGGAUUGCUUACGCAUCAAAAUCGAAUUAAGUAUAUACCGUUAACGUGAGAAAACAAGGUUCGACGAAAGCCAAAAAUUGGAUUUGUCGAUGCCUCACGGGCUUGUGGCCGACCGUGUAGCUGGCCGUGUGUGAGAGACGACCCUGUAACUGACGAAUGUGUGGCUGUGCGCCUGACACGGCUGUGUGACGAUGUGAGUGUGGCCUUGUAGGCCACGCGGACUAGGCUAGGUUGGACGUGUAGGGCACACAGGCUAGGCCAUUCUGGGCAUGUGGGCCCAUACGGGUAUGUGGAACCCAGAAUUCUAAAAUUUUCUCUAAGGUCGCACGGGUCGUUCCGAUCAACUGUGAACUUACCUUAAGGUCAAUAAGGGCUAACCAAACCCUAUUU
rnacentral:lncRNA from 1 species